GAUGAACGCUGGCGGCGUGCCUAAUACAUGCAAGUCGAGCGAACAGACGAGGAGCUUGCUCCUCUGACGUUAGCGGCGGACGGGUGAGUAACACGUGGAUAACCUACCUAUAAGACUGGGAUAACUUCGGGAAACCGGAGCUAAUACCGGAUAAUAUAUUGAACCGCAUGGUUCAAUAGUGAAAGACGGUUUUGCUGUCACUUAUAGAUGGAUCCGCGCCGCAUUAGCUAGUUGGUAAGGUAACGGCUUACCAAGGCAACGAUGCGUAGCCGACCUGAGAGGGUGAUAGGCCACACUGGAACUGAGACACGGUCCAGACUCCUACGGGAGGCAGCAGUAGGGAAUCUUCCGCAAUGGGAGAAAGCCUGACGGGGCAACGCCGCGUGAGUGAUGAAGGUCUUCGGAUCGUAAAACUCUGUUAUUAGGGAAGAACAAAUGUGUAAGUAACUAUGCACGUCUUGACGGUACCUAAUCAGAAAGCCACGGCUAACUACGUG
rnacentral:rRNA from 1 species